rnacentral:rRNA from 1 species
CACGUAGGGGGCAAGCGUUGUCCGGAUUUAUUGGGCGUAAAGAGCUCGUAGGCGGCUCAGUAAGUCAGGUGUGAAACCUCCAGGCUCAACCUGGAGACGCCACCUGAUACUGCUGUGGCUAGAGUCCGGUAGGGGAGCGUGGAAUUCCUGGUGUAGCGGUGAAAUGCGCAGAUAUCGGGAGGAACACCUGUGGCGAAAGCGGCGCACUGGACCACAACUGACGCUGAGGCGCGAAAGCUAGGGGAGCAAACAGG